CUACGGGUGGCUGCAGUGGGGAAUUUUGGACAAUGGGGGCAACCCUGAUCCAGCCAUUCCGCGUGAGUGAAGAAGGCCUUCGGGUUGUAAAGCUCUUUUGUCCGGAGCGAAACGGGCGGCCCUAAUACGGUCGUCUACUGACGGUACCGGAAGAAUAAGCACCGGCUAACUACGUGCCAGCAGCCGCGGUAAUACGUAGGGUGCGAGCGUUCGUCGGAAUUGCGGAGCGUAAUGCGUACGCCAGCUGUGUAAUCCCCGGGCUCAACCUGGGAAUGGCAUUUGGGACUGCAAGGCUGGAGUGUGGCAGAGGGGACUAGAAUUCCUGGUGUAGCAGUGAAAUGCGUAGAUAUCAGGAGGAAUACCGAUGGCGAAGGCAGGUCCCUGGGUUAACACUGACGCUCAUGCACGAAAGCGUGGGGAGCAAACAGGAUUAGAUACCCCAGUAGUC
rnacentral:rRNA from 1 species